rnacentral:rRNA from 1 species
GAUGAACGCUGGCGGCGUGCUUAACACAUGCAAGUCGAACGAAACACCUUAUUUGAUUUUCUUCGGAACUGAAGAUUUGGUGAUUGAGUGGCGGACGGGUGAGUAACGCGUGGGUAACCUGCCCUGUACAGGGGGAUAACAGUCAGAAAUGACUGCUAAUACCGCAUAAGACCACAGCACCGCAUGGUGCAGGGGUAAAAACUCCGGUGGUACAGGAUGGACCCGCGUCUGAUUAGCUGGUUGGUGAGGUAACGGCUCACCAAGGCGACGAUCAGUAGCCGGCUUGAGAGAGUGAACGGCCACAUUGGGACUGAGACACGGACCAAACUCCUACGGGAGGCAGCAGUGGGGAAUAUUGCACAAUGGGGGAAACCCUGAUGCAGCGACGCCGCGUGAGUGAAGAAGUAUUUCGGUAUGUAAAGCUCUAUCAGCAGGGAAGAAAAUGACGGUACCUGACUAAGAAGCCCCGGCUAACUACGUG